rnacentral:lncRNA from 1 species
CGCGCGGCGCCUGCGGCGGCGAACGGACGGACGGACCGCGGACGGACGUACUGACCCCAACCCGCGAGCCCCGGGAGCCGUCGGUCUGAGGAGGGGCCGCUUCGCCAUGUCGCCCCGCACCUGCUGAGCCCGGAGCGUCCGAGGAUGUCCGCGCUGAGGAAGGCUUUCUCGCCAUCCGAGGCUUGGCCCUAGCCCUGCGCGGCUUCCCUCGCGGCUGCUAACCCUCUGCCUGCGCCCAGCCCAGCCACAAUGGGGACUGCUCAGGUUUUGCCUGGCAUUCUGCAGAAGCAUUGCUGUAUCUUACCAGACAGGAAUACAGGUCUGCUGUGUGCCAAAAUAUUUUACCAUGCCCUAAAAGUGAGAUGUUGGAAGUGGACAAGGAGGAAAUAUUUAUGAAUAUUUGAGUCUGUUAUUCUUUAUGUUAAGCAUUUUGGCUUCUGUUGUACUCCUAAAUCACUACUGAGAGCAGAGAAAGAGCUCUUUGUAGAAAUGAGAUGUGUUCCUGUGUGCUGCCUGUGACGCAUCCCGUUGUCACCGGAGUGCCGUGGCCCUAAGGAAUGACAGCAUUAAGGCAUGGACGUUAAAGAUGGACAAAAGAAUUGUUCACGGUGUUGUAUUUUAAAAUGACUAUGUGUAUGACAAUUAAACUAUUGUGUCUUCGUUUACUCCAUGUGUUCUGCCUGACAGCUGGG